rnacentral:rRNA from 1 species
CAAGUCGAACGCGAAAGUUCCCUUCGGGGAGCGAGUAGAGUGGCGCACGGGUGAGUAACACGUAGGUAAUCUACCUUUGGAUUGGGAAUAACCACCGGAAACGGUGGCUAAUACCGAAUAAUGCAGCGGCACCUAAUGGUGACAGUUGUUAAAGCGGGGGAUCGCAAGACCUCGCGUCUGAAGAGGAGCCUGCGGCAGAUUAGCUAGUUGGUAAGGUAACGGCUUACCAAGGCGAUGAUCUGUAGCCGGCCUGAGAGGGCGGUCGGCCACACUGACACUGACAUACGGGUCAGACUCCUACGGGAGGCAGCAGUCGGGAAUUUUGGGCAAUGGGCGAAAGCCUGACCCAGCAACGCCGCGUGAAGGAUGAAAUCCUUCGGGAUGUAAACUUCGCAAGAACGGGAAGAAUAAGUAAGGGUUAAUAUCUCUUACGAUGACGGUACUGUUUGUAAGCUCCGGCUAACUCCGUGCCAGCAGCCGCGGUAAUACGGGGGGAGCAAGCGUUGUUCGGAUUUACUGGGCGUAAAGGGCGCGUAGGCGGCCACCGCAAGUCAAUUGUGAAAUCUCCGGGCUCAACCCGGAACGGUCAACUGAUACUGCGGGGCUAGAGUGCAGAAGGGGCAACUGGAAUUCUCGGUGUAGCGGUGAAAUGCGUAGAUAUCGAGAGGAACACCUGCGGCGAAGGCGGGUUGCUGGGCUGACACUGACGCUGACAGCGCGAAAGCUAGGGGAGCGAACGGGAUUAGAUACCCCGGUAGUCCUAGCCUUAAACGAUGAAUGCUUGGUGUCUGGGGUUUUAUAGUCCCCGGGUGCCGUCGCUAACGCUUUAAGCAUUCCGCCUGGGGAGUACGGUC